UACGUAGGGUGCAAGCGUUAAUCGGAAUUACUGGGCGUAAAGCGUGCGCAGGCGGUUAUGCAAGACAGAUGUGAAAUCCCCGAGCUUAACUUGGGAAUUGCGCUCGAAACUACGAUGCUCGAGUGUGGCAGAGGAAGGUGGAAUUCCACGUGUAGCGGUGAAAUGCGUAGAGAUGUGGAGGAACACCGAUGGCGAAGGCAGCCUUCUGGGCCAACACUGACGCUCAUGCACGAAAGCGUGGGGAGCAAACAGG
rnacentral:rRNA from 1 species